rnacentral:lncRNA from 1 species
CUCAUGUUUGCGGGGAGUUUCAAUGGUCCUAUUUUUUAGGAUCAUUUGAUAGUCGGUACCUAUUUUACUAUAGUUGGGUGGUUUUGGGGUUAUUCUCUACUUUCUCCUCUCUUUUGUAAUAUUUGUUAGGUGCACUACUGUCUUGGGUUUAAUCUUGCACGAGUCAGUACUGCCAAAUGAAAUCUAAUUACAAAUCCAACUAGAUAUCGAAAAUUUCCUUUUGGAUCAUUAUAAAUGUUUCCCUAUUACCAAAAGAACGUCCUACUGUUUCCCAGUUAUGCUUUCAUUUUGACAAUAAAAUAAAUUCUCAAAUGUAGGAAGUCGACUUGCAUCAGGAUAACCAGUACCUGACAGCAAAGGUUGUCCUUCCCAAUCUCUCUCCAUCUCUCUCUCUCUCUCUGAUUUGUUACUUCAGAUUUUGUUUAUUGGUUAUCAUUUUUGUUGAUUGUGUAGAUAGCUGAGGGUGAGAGAGUGCAGCAGAUGAAUUUGAUGCCCGGAGGGUCUGAGUAUGAGUUGAUGCAGCCUCCGUCAUUCGACACUCGCAAUUAUCUUCAAGUGGAUGGCCGGCUGCAAUCCGAUCAUAAUUCGUAUUCUCGCCAAGACCAAACAGUCCUUCAGCUAGUGUACGUAUUUUAUUUUACGUCGCUUUAAUUUAUGCUUUUCUUUUUCGCAUGGCACAUAUUAACGUCGAAAAAAUUGAAAUGAAAUAAAUUAAGUGAGCCUAAUUUCAUAUGCAUAUUGUAUAGAAAAGAGAUGGAAGAAGAAAAAAAAUAGCACAACAAACGAAUCUGAAAUAAGUUUUCGUUUUUAGCAGCAUGAAGGUCCAGCUAUUUAUGGAAAGUGCUAGCUGAAGCUUUUUCACUCGUGAUGUGCCUGCAACUAUGAUGGUCAUGGACUCCAAGUUUAUGUUUUCUAAAUUGCGAUUAUAUGGACUUAUAAAAACUCGCGCUUGAACUCGGAUAAUACGUUGUUGAUUUACACUAAUGUAACCUCUUAAGAUGUGAGAUUAUUUUUGUUUAUACGGACUAUGUUAAAACAUCGUAAUCCAUACUAUUUAUUUAGGAUUAAUUUCAACCUAGUGGUGUUUGCCUGGAACUUGAUGAGUCUUAGUGUACGAUUAUUCUCAACAGGACUACAAAAUGAAUAGUUAAUACGGUGUGAGUGCAGGAUCUGGUCACCAACCACUUAACUUUACAUUAAAUAUUCAAUCUGGGAAUGUUAGAAAAUUAAAAAUUUUGGCGCCCCCAAAGAACAAAAGAAAAUACUACGAACAUGGAAAAAUGAGCGCAUAAGGAUGUACUCCUUUGAAACGAUUUGUUAGUUGUUGAUCAAAAUAAGAUUGAAAUUUCUUUUAUAUAUGGUUCACAUUGUAUACGGAUAAAGACAGAACAUUUUGCCAAAAAAAAAAAAAAAAAAUUACAAAUUUCAAAAAAUUUUCAUUCUUUUUUUAUUAUAAAAACACGCAGCUCGUUUAUAUUUAAUCAUUUUGAGCGGAUAAGUUUUGGAGGAAUUUUAAAAUAUUGUUUUGAACGCACAAAAAUGUGUUAUUUCCGAAUAUUUGUGAGAACUUAUGUUUUUGUUUUAGAAGAGCGCAGGUUUCUUUUUGUUUUAUUUUAAUCAAUUUUCAAUUACUGUUGUGAAACUUAUGUCCAAUGCAAAAUGAAUAGAUAUAAAAGACGGCUGACGGGUGUGGGUCAUGUAAGUAUUUGUGUAAGAAAGGAAGAUGAGAAGGUGGAAAAAUGGUGAAUUAUGAAAAGCAUUUUAAACAAAUAAAGAACGGUGUCUGGGAUCUAUUUGGUCAACAACCAACGGCUAGAAAUACCCUUAUCCAUACAGUGACCCUGGAAGUGAAAGAUUCCACGUAGGUGAUGAUCCAUAUAUAACAGGAAUUUUUAUCCAUGUUUAUUCAAACGAUAUCGUUUUAAGGAAUUUUGAUACAAACUACAUCGUUCAGUGUAAAUAAGUGCUUACUUUUAGAGGUCAUCGACUACCCCAAUGCAUGAAAAGUUCAUGUAUCAUUAAGAUUCUUUUAAAACUGACCACGAAUCAGAUUUAAAUCUGAUCAUAUAUAAAGUUUUUUUAAACUUUCUUUAUACAUUUCUGUGAGUUAGUCCCCCCACCCCAAAAAAGCAUAUUGCAUUUGGUGAUCUUGUUGAAAAGAUAACUAAUAUCUUAUAGAUUUCAUAGUUGCCAUUCCUGAUGUCACAUUGUAUAUUGAGUUCAAGGAUGGUAGGGACUCUACCAUUAGAAUAGCACAAUGUUGAACUUUAUUCAUUGAAAUAUAAAUGAUUUUAGUAGUAAGUGGGUUGCUAGCUAAAUCCCAAUUUAUUUAUUCAACCAAGAAAAAAAAACUCAAGUGUUGUACCAUAUCAGAUCAGUAAGCCAUUUAUGCAGAAGCAGACCCAAAGGGGCAAUGCCCCUUCAAGCUUUGAAUUUUUUUUUUUAACUAUAGUUUUAGAAAAAAUUUUACAAUGUGACCCACUCAAAAAAUUAUAAAUGCCCCCCUUAAAAAAUUUUUAAUUUGUCCUCCUGAAUAUUUUUCCUAACUCUACGACUCAAUUUUAGGUUUUUCGUAAAUAGAUUAAUGUAUUUCCUUAUGAUUUAAAGCAAAGUUAGACUCUAUAUUUAUUUUGUGAUGUGUCAACCAGAUAUGCAAAACAUUCCAACCAGUUGAUAGAGUGAGAGUUUAAACUACAAAUUAAAUUCUUCGUCAAAUUGUGGGGCUUUUGACCUAACCACUCUAUACAGGGUGGCUCUAUCUUAUUUUAAAUUGAGGCCCACACUAGGUGGACGGUGGAUUUAAUUCAUCCAAAUUUUAUUUAGUCUUUUGGGUGAAUACCGAGGUUUUAAAAAACAAAUAUGCAAAGAAGAAGGAGAAAAUCAAUAUUAGGCAUAGGAGGUAAAAUUUAAAUAGUUAGCUCAUUCAGAUUUUUAGCUGCUUAGGUUUUUAUUUUGAUUAUUUUUUAGUAAUCAAUUUUUUUUAGAUUUUGUAGAAGGCUUAAGUUUUAUUUUGAUUUUAUUUUUAUAGGUAAUCAAAUUUAUUUUUUUUGAGAUUUUUUUUGUUGCAUUUAAUUUUUAGUUUUUCUGUCUUUUGUGAACGAACUUUUUAAUCGUUUGAUCAAAGGAUUAUACUUUAAAAAAAAGAAAAAAAUGACGAGAGGAGUCUGAAAAUAUAAAAAAAAAAUAUAAUAAUUGAGAGGGGGGGGGGGGGGGGGGAAGAAAAAAGUUCAUUAAAGAAAAAAAAUAUUUUUACUAGAAAUUAUAUAUUUAUUUGUCUUUAAUGUAUUUUUUGUAAAAUUUGAAAAACAUUUUACAUUUUCAGAUUCAUUUCAUCAAGAAAAAAUCAAAAAAAUGAGAAAUUUGAAAUUAAAAGAAAAAGAGAAACAAGGGUGGGUGGUCAAAACGGGCGUAAGUAGAUGGUGUUCAAACGUGCGCGCGUGGUGUUUUUGGCCCGGUUUUUUGUCGUGACCACUUUCUUUCGUGCUAACCGUGCUGCGUGCCGUGCCAGAUGCUGGGCCCAUUACCUUAACGUGCUUGCCCGUGCCGUGCCUUAAUCGUGCGUGCCAUUUUUAAUUGUGCCGUGUCGUGCCUAUUUGUUUUGAUUCGUGUCGUGGCCGUGCCGUGCCAUUUUUAUAACCGUGUCGUGCCGUGCUGGGCCCAUUUACUUAAUCGUGCUGUGUCGGGCCGGCCCGAACUUAUUUAAUUAUAGGCCGUUCGUGCCGGUCCGCUACUAGUCGUGUGACUCGUGUCUUGCCGUGCCGUGCGGUCUACUUAAUCGUGUGUGCCAUGGCCGUUUUUAAUACGUUUGUCGUGCCGGUCGGCUUAAAAUUCGCAACUAAAUACAUUUAUAAGGAGUGGUAAAUGACUACAAAAUCGUAUUACAUGUCCAUUGAGAAUAUAAUGUCCUAUUUGUUUAGAAUCUAGCAAAAUCUAAAUUAAUAAUACUCAAAACCAAUAUAAAAAUGUAAAAAAAGAGUAGUUCCGGGGGUUAUGCCACCACCUGUUAUAUUCAACAAGUAGAUGAAGGGCUUUCAAUAUUCGAAGAUUUCCCAAAAGUAGGCGAGAGUGACAAUAAAACAAAGUGAAUGCGUGUGAAUUGUCAUAAUUAUGUUGCGAUUGUGUGUUAGCGCAUAAUAUUUAUACAUAUUAUGUAAUUAUAAAAAAUUUCAAUUUGAUCUAUCAAUUCAAAAAAUUUGUAUUUUUAUUUUUAUUAUGAAAAAAUUUUAUUUUUGAUUUUUUCUCAUUUUAAAUAAAAUAAGUGUGUAUUUUAAAAUUUUAUUUUGUAUUAUUAUGGCCUAAUAUGGGCCAUCAAGUCAAAAAUUUUAAAUUUAUAGUUUUAGUUUCAAAAUUUAAUUUUUUUUUAUGAUUAGUAUUAUUUUUGUUGAUUCAUAAUUUUAUUUUAAAAAUUUCUCAAUUUUUUCUUAUUAUGGAAUUGAAAAGUCAAUUUAUUUAAUAAAAAUAUAUUGUUUUAUUAUUGAUUUAUUACAGCCAUGACUCAUGAAUAAGUCAAAAUUUAUUAUUUUUACUUUUUUUAUUUUCUUUUAAAUUUUUAAAAAAAUUUACUUAUGGCAAGCAAUUUGUUUAAUUAAAUUUUAUUUUAAUUUAUUUAAUAAUUAAUAAUUUUUCUUAUUCAUUCGUGUCGUGUCAGGCCAAUUAUUGUGCCGUAUUACCAUGCUGUUGCCCUGCACAUUCGUGCCAGCCUGUGCCGUGCUGGCUAAGUCUGUGUGUCGUGCCGUUGCCGUUGCCGUGCGUGCCCAAACCAAAUCAACUAUCGUGUCAUCCCGGGCCGGGGGCGGGCUUUGACCGCUGCGGCGUGCCAUGCCGGCCGUGUAAUAAGGCCAAAGAUCGUGUGUGCCCGUGCCGGGCUCUGCCAUUUCGUGCCUCGUGCCCGUGUCCGUGCCCGCUCAGACCGUGCAGUGUCGUGUCGUGCCCAAACUUUUACCGUGCCAAAGCGUGCUCAUGCCGGGGUUUUUUCGUGUCGUUGCCCGUGCCGUGCCUGC